UAAUCUCAUGAGGAUUCUUCAUCUUUCCUGCAUCCCUUCAUCGUUGUCUUCUACAUCAUAACAAUCUGGUCCUUUAUAUCCUUUAACGCUUCCUUCUUUCUCACAAACCUCAAAUCCAAACCUCUUCAUCUGCUUCUAUCUUCUUAAGGCACCAAACGAUCGCUGGUGUUAGGUUCCGAGGGCAACGAUGGUAAUUCAGUUCGUUGAUUGUUGUGUAGUGGGUCAGAUGGAUGCAACGACGGCAAUGGAUAGGCUGCGAUGGGUGAGGUUGUGGCAUCUUCUGCAUUGGAUCAGACAAUUAAGGUUUUGUCAAUGGUUCCGGUACCCAAGCUUGCAUUGAGGUUAUAGGGACUCUGUAGCUAUAACUGAUUGUAGGGACUUUGCAGCAGAUGCACACGUUUGGUGUCGGGAAAAUGGAUACUUUAACCCACAAGGCCAUAUUGUGGUAAGUAUUCUGCAAAACUAUUGAAGAAGCCUGACCAAUGCAGAACUGUUUAUACCUGUUCACAUCUGUUCUAGGUUGAGGAUCGGGAUGGGAUCAAGGAUGGUAAGAGGAUGUUGGCACUGAUCUUCUAGGCUUACAACUAGCACAACGGCUGGCCGUUUGGGUACUGCUUCAAGUGCAGCCAAUUCAGCCAUAGUGACUCACCACACCAAAAAAAUCAAUGCCGGGGCAGUUGCUAAAGUUGAUGAACUCACUAUGUGAUGCUUUAUGGUUCAACCAAACACUCCAUGAUCUUUAACAAAUACGGGAUGGGAUCAAGGAUGGUUGUUCGAAUUAUUGGUGCUGACUGGUGCUCAAGGUGGAUCAGACCGGACUUCUAUUUUGAAGAAAAGGGAGCAAUUUAGGUGAGUGAUGAAUGUGAAGAGGAAGAAGAAGACAGGGGUAGGGUGAGGGUGGGGUAGGUUGUUGGGCACACUUGAAAUUUGACUUACUAAUUAGAUUUUUAUUUUUUUAUUUAUUAAAUGCCCAGAUACUUCCUGUGGUUUGCCCUUUUUAAGGAAAUGUAUUUUUGUCAUUUCACACCCUCUUAACUGAGAAAACUAACUAAUGUUAGGCACAGAGACUAUCCGGGAACAAAAAUUGAAAAGUUGAGGACUAUAGCUGUCAUUUUAAAAAGUUUUGGACUAAAGGUGAAAAAAAAGGCAAAACACAAGGACUAUCUGGGCAUUUAACUCUUAAUACAUUAAAAGUAAAGUAUUUGAUGAAGAUAGUGGAAACGGAAUUCCUUAAA